rnacentral:lncRNA from 1 species
UAAUCACCUCCACCUGGUAACAACCAAUUGUCCACCGAAUGAUUUAGCGAAAUGUUUUUAUUGUAAAGAAAGAUACAGAGGCUGCCUUGAAAAUCUGAACUCCUUAAUGCCAUUUCCUUCAGCAAAACAGGCAUCUCUUAGAGUGUCAAGACAAGACCCAGAGUCUUGGUUCCUGUGUUUGCUCCCUGAGUGAAAAAUCAUGCUUCAAAUUGAUUCAUAGAUCUGGCAAAUACCACUGAUACUAGCAGCUGUUUGCUAAUAUUCUGAAUAGGUCAGAUCUUUGGUACAGAUGCUGCCAUCACAAUCCUAGAAGACUCACCAUUGCUUCACAGAGUGGAGGCAUGUCUUGUUCCACAACAGUGAGUAUGAAGGAUCUGGAAGAAUGGGCCACUCAGAAGAGUUGCUGAACCUUUUCAAGGCCGGGCGAGGUGGCUCACGCCUGUAAUCCCAGCACUUUGGGAAGCUGAGGUGGGCGGAUUGCGAGGUCAGGAGAUCAAGACCAUCCUGGCUAACACGGUGAAACCCCGUCUCUACUAAAAGUACAAAAAAAGUUAGCUGGGCGUGGUGGCGGGCGCCUGUAGUCCCAGCUACUUGGGAGGCUGAGGCAGGAGAAUGGCGUGAACCCAGGAGUCAGAGCUUGCAGUGAGCUGAGGUCGCGCCACUGCACUCCAGCC